AGUGGGGAAUCUUAGACAAUGGGCGCAAGCCUGAUCUAGCGAUGCCGCGUGAGUGAUGAAGGCCUUAGGGUCGUAAAGCUCUUUCGCCUGUGAAGAUAAUGACGGUAGCAGGUAAAGAAACCCCGGCUAACUCCGUGCCAGCAGCCGCGGUAAUACGGAGGGGGUUAGCGUUGUUCGGAAUUACUGGGCGUAAAGCGCACGUAGGCGGACUAGUCAGUCAGAGGUGAAAUCCCAGGGCUCAACCCUGGAACUGCCUUUGAUACUGCUAGUCUUGAGUUCGAGAGAGGUAAGUGGAAUUCCGAGUGUAGAGGUGAAAUUCGUAGAUAUUCGGAGGAACACCAGUGGCGAAGGCGGCUUACUGGCUCGAUACUGACGCUGAGGUGCGAAAGUGUGGGGAGCAAACAGGAUUAGAUACCCUGGUAGUCCACACCGUAAACGAUGAAUGCCAGACGUCGGGUAGCAUGCUAUUCGGUGUCACACCUAACGGAUUAAGCAUUCCGCCUGGGGNNNACGGUCGCAAGAUUA
rnacentral:rRNA from 1 species